rnacentral:rRNA from 1 species
AGCAAUACUUAGUGGCAGACGGGUGAGUAACAUGUAGGUAUCUUCCCUUUGGUGAGGAAUAACACGAGGAAACUUGUGCUAAUACCGGAUAAGUCUUUACAGAGAAAGCUUUAUGCACCAUUGGAUGAGCCUGCACUUGAUUAGUUUGUUGGUGGGGUAAUGGCCUACCAAGACUGUGAUCAAUAGCUGAUUUGAGAGGAUGAUCAGCCACAUUGGGACUGAGACACGGCCCAAACUCCUACGGGAGGCAGCAGUGGGGAAUCUUGCACAAUGGAGGAAACUCUGAUGCAGCGAUGCCGCGUGAGUGAAGAAGGCCUUUGGGUUGUAAAGCUCUUUCGUCGGGGAAGAAAAUGACUGUACCCGAAUAAGAAGGUCCGGCUAACUUCGUGCCAGCAGCCGCGGUAAUACGAAGGGACCUAGCGUAGUUCGGAAUUACUGGCUUAAAGAGUUCGUAGGUGGUUGAAAAAGUUGGUGGUGAAAUCCCAGAGCUUAACUCUGGAACUGCCAUCAAAACUUUUCAGCUAGAGUAUGAUAGAGGAAAGCAGAAUUUCUAGUGUAGAGGUGAAAUUCGUAGAUAUUAGAAAGAAUACCAAUUGCGAAGGCAGCUUUCUGGAUCAUUACUGACACUGAGGAACGAAAGCAUGGGUAGC